rnacentral:rRNA from 1 species
AGUAAUGCAUAGGAAUCUGCCCGGUAGUGGGGGAUAACCUGGGGAAACCCAGGCUAAUACCGCAUACGUCCUACGGGAGAAAGCAGGGGAUCUUCGGACCUUGCGCUAUCGGAUGAGCCUAUGUCGGAUUAGCUUGUUGGUGAGGUAAUGGCUCACCAAGGCGACGAUCCGUAGCUGGUCUGAGAGGAUGAUCAGCCACAUCGGGACUGAGACACGGCCCGAACUCCUACGGGAGGCAGCAGUGGGGAAUAUUGGACAAUGGGCGAAAGCCUGAUCCAGCCAUGCCGCGUGUGUGAAGAAGGCUUUCGGGUUGUAAAGCACUUUCAGUGAGGAAGAAGGCCUUGGGGCUAAUACCCCCGAGGAAGGACAUCACCCACAGCGGG